UCCCAAAGUCUAGACCAGCAUUUCAGGA
rnacentral:piRNA from 1 species